AUUUCAUGAUGAAAUCUUAUUGUCCAGAAAACUCAUGUUGGUUGACAAAAAUGAGCUUUUUAACACUGAUUCAUU